UGCCCGGCAACUCCUAUCCCUACCUCCUCGUGGUACCGGCCGGAAACUAUGAGCAACCUUAGGGAAGAUCGGGUAAUCAACCCCGGUGGGAACUUUGGUCGUAGGCUGACAGGGAAGG
rnacentral:ribozyme from 1 species